AACGAACGCUGGCGGCAUGCCUAACACAUGCAAGUCGAACGAGACCUUCGGGUCUAGUGGCGCACGGGUGCGUAACGCGUGGGAACCUGCCCUUAGGUUCGGAAUAACUCCCCGAAAGGGGUGCUCAUACCGGUUAAUGUCUUCGGACCAAAGAUUUAUCGCCUUUGGAUGGGCCCGCGUUGGAUUAGCUAGUUGGUAGGGUAAAAGCCUACCAAGGCGACGAUCCAUAGCUGGUCUGAGAGGAUGAUCAGCCACACUGGGACUGAGACACGGCCCAGACUCCUACGGGAGGCAGCAGUGGGGAAUAUUGGACAAUGGGCGAAAGCCUGAUCCAGCAAUGCCGCGUGAGUGAUGAAGGCCUUAGGGUUGUAAAGCUCUUUUACCCGGGAUGAUAAUGACAGUACCGGGAGAAUAAGCUCCGGCUAACUCCGUG
rnacentral:rRNA from 1 species